AUUACUACAAGCGACAAAUUUAUGAAUGACCCAACAAGAUGGAAAGUACGUUGCGCUCGAAAGCACGUCUAUGUAAACAUUUUCCACUCAAAAUUUCCAGACUUUUUCCCUUUUAAAUUUGAUAUUUUAUUACACAUAGUAUAUUUCUAAAGACUUUAAAAAUAAAUUACCGACGAUACGGUUAAAAAAUGUCUUAAGAUAACUGUACCUGUUGCGAGAAGUUUCUCUGUUAUCCUAUCUUUAGAGUGGGCGCGUAUGUUUGGACACGAAAACGUCACAACUGUUACGUAAUUAUCCUAAUCAUUUUAUAAAAUCUUCGAGAUUUUGCGGGGUGCUUCUGAUUUUUCAUAAUAUGAACAGCAACUCUUUGCCAACAGUUGGCAGAAUGUACACGCGGAGAUAAUUUGUUAGAAUUUGCAGUGCGCGAGUCGACCCAAAGAACAUGAGAGGUCGCAUGGACAGAAGCACAAACCCAAGUUAACAAGAGUAUUUUGACAUGUGUAGCAGUUUAACUUUCCAGGGGCACAGGUUACUGGCUUCAACUCCACAAGAACCGAAGGAAGGGGUGACAUCCCUGCUUCUUGUAUACUCCUAUCAGGAACUUGAGUUUCAGUUUUUGUACAGCAUUUGGAAAGGCUGGUAAUUGUAACUCAAACAUGAAAUUACAAAGAAAGACUAAACUCGAAAUCCAAGUUCUGGAGCGAAGAUGCUGCGACCUGUUUCAGCCUGCCAUCUUGAAGUGAGUCUCAGCACAAAUGCAAACUGGCAAAGUCGCUAUGUAGAAGCUAUGUUGUAGUGAGUUGGCUACUUUACCACGAUUUUACCCAGGGGCUUCCAUGAAAACCGGUUUUCGGCGGCCGUGUACGACGGACCACAAAUCAGACCUUUUAUCAAGUUCUGUUUAACCUGCAAGCACAGCGCAGGUUCUCGUGUUUCGCCCCAAGGCCUCCGGCUUUUCAUAACACAGUCACCUAUUACGCCAUCGGCAGCCGCUUACAGAAAAGGUUGUGGAAACCCUCCUUUUACUGUAAAACGGCCUGUGAAAGAUGGGCUUACUCCUCAACAAAAGAUGCCACGAGAUUAUGACUGCUGAAGAAUAUCUUUUCACGCCAAAUUACUGAUAACCUCACACAACUCAGUCUAGUUCCUUCCCAUAGAACUUAAGUUACGUACCACACUUUUCAUACGGAACAUGAACACUACCUGAUUACAUGUUAGGCUUAACAUGGAACUGAGUGAUGAGUGAGUUCAAGCCAGAUUCAUGACGACAAAGAGAAUUAACGGUACUUUUUACAAAGAAAAACGUCCGAUACAUCAUGUGGAGGCUUCAAGGAUAUAACAUCGUUUUUCUGCAGACAAAUACUUGUUAUAAGACUUGUUUCAUAUCUGGUUUUAGGUUUUUUUUCAUUCCCCAUUUAGCAUUAAAACUGACAUAUAGAAGAAUAAUAGUUAUCGAACAUGUAUCUAGGUAUGAUAAUCUUUGUCACAGUGUGUAUGUUAAUUGAGUUGCCUGUGAUGAAUUCUUGGAAGAUGGACUGAGAAGGAGGUGAGAUAAACUUUAUUUCAGUCGGUCAUGAUUUCAAUCGUUUGUUAACGUCUGAAGAUUCUUUCCUUUUUUAAGAUUGUGUUCUCUUGUUUAUAUAGCGCCAGUUUAAGUGCUUAUUUUCUCAGCCAGUUUCAGUCAAGUUUGUAUUCCAUUCAUUGCUGUAUAACACAUCAUUUUAGUCCUACAACUUAACACAAGAAGCAUCGCAUUGUUAUUCAUGGUAACCAACAAAGUAAAUAAAGAUUUAUUUGUUCUGUGAAAAAAACAGAGUGAAUUUCUUUGACUUUAAGUUCGAUAUAAUUUGUCAGUAAUUUUACUGUAACCAAAUCAGUUCUGGGCUAGCUAGUACCCCCUUGAAACUGAUGGUUUUGUAAAAUAAAAGUGAAAACUGGGAAAUCAUCGGUGAAAUUGUCUUGAUAAUCUCCUUCACAAACACACCUUACUAAGUGAACGGUAUAACUCUUCUUUAUCCUUACCAAUGGUGACUAAAAAUUCUUAUUUCUUCUUCCGAAGAUCUGAUUCGUAAUUCUCCUUUCUAACUGUCACAUAUUUCAGUGUCACGAUUAGUACAGAGAAUUAGGAAUUAUAUCUCG